rnacentral:rRNA from 1 species
GGUUUAGUAGGUUGGUCAUGCCUCUGGUAUGUACUGGUCUCACUGAUUCCUCCUUCCUGAUGAGCCGUAAUGCCAUUAAUUUGGUGUUGCGGGGAAUUUGGACUGUUACUUUGAAAAAAUUAGAGUGUUUAAAGCAAGCUAACGCUUGAAUACAUUAGCAUGGAAUAAUGAAAUAGGACGUUCGAUCCUAUUUUGUUGGUUUCUAGGAUUGACGUAAUGAUUAAUAGGGAUAGUUGGG